ensembl:lncRNA
CCCUCACUUAAUUUCCUUUCGCUGCUCAGCUCUCACACAGUGGCUCAGUUAUGCUCCAAUCCCUCCAUAUUGUUGCCAAUCACAUGCGAGGAUAUAGGAUAAUAUCAUUAUGUGAAAAACAGAGAGGGUGAGAGACGCGACAGUCAAGUGGAGCGUGCGUCUGUCCUCUCAGUAAGUGAGUGAGACAGUAGACAGUGGUGAGGAGGGCUGUGCGAAAGCAAAAACACAUAAAUAUGCCUGACACCUGUAAACGAAGCAGCAUUUGGCUGCAGUUUAAAGACUUUUUUUGUCUCGGUCUUGGUUUUGGUCUUGGUCUCGUCUCGGUCUCGAUACCCUCUGGUCUUGGUCUUUGUCUUGGUCUCGAUACCCUCUGGUCUUGGUCUUGUCUUGGUCUCGGAUUAGGCGGUCUUGACUACAAGUCUACUGCUGCUGCUUGCUGGGACUCUUUGCUCAGGACUUGCUACUGUCUCUUCUUGCCAUUUUAUUGCUCUUGGAACUGCAUUCUUUGUCUUCAGGGAGGAGUGAGAGCUCACUUGUGAGGAUGAGGGACACAUGGAGCUGUAAAUAAGUUAGCCAAAAACUUGGCCCGAAUGUUCCCAAUGAUGUUAAACUAUAAUUUCCUUCCGACUGCUGCAUAUGGGAAAUUGAUCCGGGUCUGCUCCUCACCUGCAAGUGACACACUGAGACCUUUUGAUCAUUGUUCUCAUUGCUUAACCGACACACAGAACUCUCUCUCUAUUUUUUUGUGAACUCUCCUUUCUUAAAAGUAGAAAAUGAGAUUGUAGUUGUUCUUGGCUGAUAAACUCAAAACCUUUUUCCCUAUGUAUAUUUCUCAUCUACAAUGUAGAUUUUUCUCCUUCUUACUCUCUCUCUUUUUUUUCUUUUUUUUUUUUUUGACACUAGCUGGUGACCUGCAGAAUCACCGCUCUCACAAUGGGAGACAAUUACGUUUUGUUUUCUUUUUUGGAUUCUUUUCAGUAUUUAUUUCUGCUUGGAGGGUUUCUUUUAAUUUAGUCAAUGCGGAGGGGCUACAUUUUCCCUCCCAUGUGGGGCAUUUAGUUUUUUUUUUUUUAUUUCUCCAUCUACAUGCACUAAUUUGUCCGGCGCCUGGACAUUUUUUCCUCUAACCACUGCUCGUCAGCCGUGAGUUUUGAAGCUUCGUUACCCAUUUUAAUCCUUUUAGAACUACACAACUGCGGCACCUUCUCUGGCACGAGAAUCGAGAGAGGUAGUUGACACGGCCUUCUACUUUCAAGCUAUUCUUGAAAGCGGUGUCAUCUUUAUGUGAUAAAACACGACCUGUUU